UGAAUAAGCGGGCCUCGAUCCCGCGAUAGAUUAAUUAACAGCUAAUCACCCAAACCAGCGGGCUUCUAUUCG
rnacentral:tRNA from 1 species